GAACAUUGCCUUGCGUUAUUCUUCUUAACCUAACAAUAGUAGCUACAAGGAUGGUGAUUAAACACAUGCAUUUUUCAUAAUCUGUAGAUAUUUUCUACUUCAAAUAGGCUAGCAUAUCAACAUGGAACUAUUAGUGUUCUCAUAUUAAAAAGUGAGUGCCAAUUACUAAUGACCUCAGUUUUAUAAUUUUUUGGCUGGUAGGAACAUGUAUCCAUUAAUAAUAAGGUUUAACCAUACCCUCUUUCCCCAACUUUUUUUUUGAAA
rnacentral:misc_RNA from 1 species